GGGAGGGGUUAUUCGAUACUGUUAAGCUAGAGGACAGCAGAGGGGGGUGGAAUUCCCGGUGUAGUGGUGAAAUGCGUAGAUAUCGGGAGGAACACCAGUGGCGAAGGCGGCUUCCUGGGCUGUUUCUGACGCUGAGGCUCGAAAGCGUGGGGAGCGAACAGGAUUAGAUACCCUGGUAGUCCACGCUGUUAACGAUGGACACUAGGUAUAGGGAGUAUCGACCCUCUCUGUGCCGAAACUAACGUGUUAAGUGUCCCGCCUGGGGAGUACGGCCGCAAGGCUAAAACUCAAAGGAAUUGACGGGGGCCCGCACAAGCAGCGGAGCGUGUGGUUUAAUUCGAUGCAACACGAAGAACCUUACCAAGGCUUGACAUGUCGGAAGUAGCGAACCGAAAGGAGAGCGAACUGUUAAGUCAGGAACCGUUACAGGUGCUGCAUGGUUGUCGUCAGCUCGUGCCGUGAGGUGUUGGGUUAAGUCCUGUAACGAGCGCAACCCCUGUUGUUAGUUGUCUUUUCUAGCAAGACUGCCCCGAGAAACGGGGAGGAAGGUGGGGAUGACGUCAAGUCAGCAUGGCUCUUACGCCUUGGGCUACACACACGCUACAAUGGAUGGUACAAAGGGCAGCAAUAGAGCAAUCUGGAGCCAAUCCUAAAAACCAUCCUCAGUUCGGGUUGCAGGCUGAAACUCGCCUGCAUGAAGUUGGAGUUGCUAGUAACUGCAGGUCAGCAUACUGCGGUGAAUACGUUCUCGGGCCUUGUACACACCGCCCGUCACGUCAUGAAAGUCGGCAACACCUGAAGUCGAUGGGCUAAC
rnacentral:rRNA from 1 species